AGGAAUAUUGGUCAAUGGACGAGAGUCUGAACCAGCCAAGUAGCGUGAAGGAUGACUGCCCUAUGGGUUGUAAACUUCUUUUAUAUGGGAAUAAAGUGCAGUAUGUAUACUGUUUUGUAUGUACCAUACGAAUAAGGAUCGGCUAACUCCGUGCCAGCAGCCGCGGUAAUACGGAGGAUCCGAGCGUUAUCCGGAUUUAUUGGGUUUAAAGGGAGCGUAGAUGGAUGUUUAAGUCAGUUGUGAAAGUUUGCGGCUCAACCGUAAAAUUGCAGUUGAUACUGGAUGUCUUGAGUGCAGUUGAGGCAGGCGGAAUUCGUGGUGUAGCGGUGAAAUGCUUAGAUAUCACGAAGAACUCCGAUUGCGAAGGCAGCCUGCUAAGCUGCAACUGACAUUGAGGCUCGAAAGUGUGGGUAUCAAACAGGAUUAGAUACCCUGGUAGUCCACACGGUAAACGAUGAAUACUCGCUGUUUGCGAUAUACGGCAAGCGGCCAAGCGAAAGCGUUAAGUAUUCCACCUGGGGAGUACGCCGGCAACGGUGAAACUCAAAGGAAUUGACGGGGGCCCGCACAAGCGGAGGAACAUGUGGUUUAAUUCGAUGAUACGCGAGGAACCUUACCCGGGCUUAAAUUGCAACUGACGGAUUUGGAAACAGAUCUUCCUUCGGGCAGUUGUGAAGGUGCUGCAUGGUUGUCGUCAGCUCGUGCCGUGAGGUGUCGGCUUAAGUGCCAUAACGAGCGCAACCCUUAUCUUUAGUUACUAACAGGUCAUGCUGAGGACUCUAGAGAGACUGCCGUCGUAAGAUGUGAGGAAGGUGGGGAUGACGUCAAAUCAGCACGGCCCUUACGUCCGGGGCUACACACGUGUUACAAUGGGGGGUACAGAAGGCAGCUACACAGCGAUGUGAUGCUAAUCCCAAAAGCCUCUCUCAGUUCGGAUUGGAGUCUGCAACCCGACUCCAUGAAGCUGGAUUCGCUAGUAAUCGCGCAUCAGCCACGGCGCGGUGAAUACGUUCCCG
rnacentral:rRNA from 1 species